GCUCUGAUGGUCUAGAGGUACGAUAAUUGCUUCGGGAGGUGCGCCCACUGGGUUAAAUCCCAUGUGGUAGCCAUGUGAAGUGCAAUUGGCCCGCGUUCGAGUCGCGGUCAGAGCC